CAACCUCAACUCAUAUAGGACUACCCCCUGAAUUUAAGCAUAUUAAUUAGGGGAGGAAAAGAAACUAACAAGGAUUUUCUUAGUAGCGGCGAGCGAAAAGAAAUCAGUUCAGCACUAAGUCACUUUGUCUAUAUGGCAAAUGUGAGAUGCAGUGUAUGGAGCGUCAAUAUUCUAGUAUGAGAAAUUAACGAUUUAAGUCCUUCUUAAAUGAGGCCAUUUACCCAUAGAGGGUGCCAGGCCCGUAUAACGUUAAUGAUUACUAGAUGAUGUUUCCAAAGAGUCGUGUUGCUUGAUAGUGCAGCACUAAGUGGGUGGUAAACUCCAUCUAAAACUAAAUAUAACCAUGAGACCGAUAGUAAACAAGUACCGUGAGGGAAAGUUGAAAAGAACUCUGAAUAGAGAGUUAAACAGUACGUGAAACUGCUUAGAGGUUAAGCCCGAUGAACCUGAAUAUCCGUUAUGGAAAAUUCAUCAUUAGAAUUGUAAUAUUUAAACAAUAUUAUGAUAAUAGUGUGCAUUUUUUCCAUAUAAGGACAUUGUAAUCUAUUAGCAUACCAAAUUUAUCAUAAAAUAUAACUUAUAGUUUAUUCAAAUUAAUUUGCUUGCAUUUUAACACAGAAUAAAUGUUAUUAAUUUGAUAAAGUGCUGAUAGAUUUAUAUGAAUACAGUGCGUUAAUUUUUCGGAAUUAUAUAAUGGCAUAAUUAUCAUUGAUUUUUGUGUUUAUUAUAUGCACUUGUAGGAUUAACAAUGCGAAAGAUUCAGGAUACCUUCGGGACCCGUCUUGAAACACGGACCAAGGAGUCUAACAUAUGUGCAAGUUAUUGGGAUAUAAACCUAAUAGCGUAAUUAACUUGACUAAUAAUGGGAUUAGUUUUUUAACUAUUUAUAGCUAAUUAACACAAUCCCGGGGCGUUCUAUAUAGUUAUGUAUAAUGAUAUUUAUAUUAUUUAUGCCUCUAACUGGAACGUACCUUGAGCAUAUAUGCUGUGACCCGAAAGAUGGUGAACUAUACUUGAUCAGGUUGAAGUCAGGGGAAACCCUGAUGGAAGACCGAAACAGUUCUGACGUGCAAAUCGAUUGUCAGAAUUGAGUAUAGGGGCGAAAGACCAAUCGAACCAUCUAGUAGCUGGUUCCUUCCGAAGUUUCCCUCAGGAUAGCUGGUGCAUUUUAAUAUUAUAUAAAAUAAUCUUAUCUGGUAAAGCGAAUGAUUAGAGGCCUUAGGGUCGAAACGAUCUUAACCUAUUCUCAAACUUUAAAUGGGUAAGAACCUUAACUUUCUUGAUAUGAAGUUCAAGGUUAUGAUAUAAUGUGCCCAGUGGGCCACUUUUGGUAAGCAGAACUGGCGCUGUGGGAUGAACCAAACGUAAUGUUACGGUGCCCAAAUUAACAACUCAUGCAGAUACCAUGAAAGGCGUUGGUUGCUUAAAACAGCAGGACGGUGAUCAUGGAAGUCGAAAUCCGCUAAGGAGUGUGUAACAACUCACCUGCCGAAGCAACUAGCCCUUAAAAUGGAUGGCGCUUAAGUUGUAUACCUAUACAUUACCGCUAAAGUAGAUGAUUUAUAUUACUUGUAAUAUAAAUUUUGAAACUUUAGUGAGUAGGAAGGUACAAUGGUAUGCGUAGAAGUGUUUGGCGUAAGCCUGCAUGGAGCUGCCAUUGGUACAGAUCUUGGUGGUAGUAGCAAAUAAUCGAAUGAGACCUUGGAGGACUGAAGUGGAGAAGGGUUUCGUGUGAACAGUGGUUGAUCACGAGUUAGUCGGUCCUAAGUUCAAGGCGAAAGCCGAAAAUUUUCAAGUAAAAUACAAAUGCCAAACAAAUAUAUAUAUUAUAUAAAAUCUAGCUAAAUUAAUAUACUUGAAUAAUUUUGAACGAAAGGGAAUACGGUUCCAAUUCCGUAACCUGUUGAGUAUCCGUUUGUUAUUAAAUAUGGGCCUCGUGCUCAUCCUGGCAACAGGAACGACCAUAAAGAAGCCGUCGAGAGAUAUCGGAAGAGUUUUCUUUUCUGUUUUAUAGCCGUACUACCAUGGAAGUCUUUCGCAGAGAGAUAUGGUAGAUGGGCUAGAAGAGCAUGACAUAUACUGUUGUGUCGAUAUUUUCUCCUCGGACCUUGAAAAUUUAUGGUGGGGACACGCAAACUUCUCAACAGGCCGUACCAAUAUCCGCAGCUGGUCUCCAAGGUGAAGAGUCUCUAGUCGAUAGAAUAAUGUAGGUAAGGGAAGUCGGCAAAUUAGAUCCGUAACUUCGGGAUAAGGAUUGGCUCUGAAGAUUGAGAUAGUCGGGCUUGAUUGGGAAACAAUAACAUGGUUUAUGUGCUCGUUCUGGGUAAAUAGAGUUUCUAGCAUUUAUGUUAGUUACUUGUUCCCCGGAUAGUUUAGUUACGUAGCCAAUUGUGGAACUUUCUUGCUAAAAUUUUUAAGAAUACUAAUUGGGUUAAACCAAUUAGUUCUUAUUAAUUAUAACGAUUAUCAAUUAACAAUCAAUUCAGAACUGGCACGGACUUGGGGAAUCCGACUGUCUAAUUAAAACAAAGCAUUGUGAUGGCCCUAGCGGGUGUUGACACAAUGUGAUUUCUGCCCAGUGCUCUGAAUGUCAAAGUGAAGAAAUUCAAGUAAGCGCGGGUCAACGGCGGGAGUAACUAUGACUCUCUUAAGGUAGCCAAAUGCCUCGUCAUCUAAUUAGUGACGCGCAUGAAUGGAUUAACGAGAUUCCUACUGUCCCUAUCUACUAUCUAGCGAAACCACAGCCAAGGGAACGGGCUUGGAAUAAUUAGCGGGGAAAGAAGACCCUUUUGAGCUUGACUCUAAUCUGGCAGUGUAAGGAGACAUAAGAGGUGUAGAAUAAGUGGGAGAUAUUAGACCUCGGUUUGGUAUCGCCAAUGAAAUACCACUACUCUUAUUGUUUCCUUACUUACUUGAUUAAAUGGAACGUGUAUCAUUUCCUAGCCAUUAUACGGAUAUAUUUAUUAUAUCUUAUGGUAUUGGGUUUUGAUGCAAGCUUCUUGAUCAAAGUAUCACGAGUUUGUUAUAUAAUCGCAAACAAAUUCUUUAAUAAAACGGUGCAUUUAUGUAUUUUUGAUUUGAAAAUUUGGUAUAACUCCAAUUACUCAGGUAUGAUCCAAUUCAAGGACAUUGCCAGGUAGGGAGUUUGACUGGGGCGGUACAUCUCUCAAAUAAUAACGGAGGUGUCCCAAGGCCAGCUCAGUGCGGACAGAAACCACACAUAGAGCAAAAGGGCAAAUGCUGACUUGAUCUCGGUGUUCAGUACACACAGGGACAGCAAAAGCUCGGCCUAUCGAUCCUUUUGGUUUAAAGAGUUUUUAACAAGAGGUGUCAGAAAAGUUACCAUAGGGAUAACUGGCUUGUGGCGGCCAAGCGUUCAUAGCGACGUCGCUUUUUGAUCCUUCGAUGUCGGCUCUUCCUAUCAUUGUGAAGCAAAAUUCACCAAGCGUUGGAUUGUUCACCCAUGCAAGGGAACGUGAGCUGGGUUUAGACCGUCGUGAGACAGGUUAGUUUUACCCUACUAAUGACAAAACGUUGUUGCGACAGCAUUCCUGCGUAGUACGAGAGGAACCGCAGGUACGGACCAAUGGCACAAUACUUGUUCGAGCGAACAGUGGUAUGACGCUACGUCCGUUGGAUUAUGCCUGAACGCCUCUAAGGUCGUAUCCGUGCUGGACUGCAAUGAUAAAUAAGGGGCAAUUUGCAUUGUAUGGCUUCUAAACCAUUUAAAGUUUAUAAUUUACUUUUUAAACGACAAUGGAUGUGAUGCCAAUGUAAUUUGUAACAUAGUAAAUUGGGAGGAUCUUUGAUCACCUGAUGCCGCGCUAGUUACAUAUAAAAGCAUUAUUUAAUACAAUGACAAAGCCUAGAAUCAAUUGUAAACGACUUUUGUAACAGGCAAGGUGUUGUAAGUGGUUGAGCAGCUGCCAUACUGCGAUCCACUGAAGCUUAUCCUUUGCUUGAUGAUUCGA